UGGACGAAAGUCUGACGGAGCAACGCCGCGUGAGUGAAGAAGGUUUUCGGAUCGUAAAGCUCUGUCUUCAGGGACGAAUGUGCUUAAUGUGAAUAAUGUUAAGUAAUGACGGUACCUGAGGAGGAAGCCACGGCUAACUACGUGCCAGCAGCCGCGGUAAUACGUAGGAGGCAAGCGUUGUCCGGAAUUAUUGGGCGUAAAGCGCGCGCAGGCGGGAAUGUAAGUCUGUCUUAAAAGUUCGGGGCUCAACCCGGUGAUGGGAUGGAAACUACAUUUCUUGAGUGCAGGAGAGGAAAGUGGAAUUCCUAGUGUAGCGGUGAAAUGCGUAGAUAUUAGGAGGAACAUCAGUGGCGAAGGCGACUUUCUGGACUGUGUCUGACGCUGAGGCGCGAAAGCCAGGGGAGUGAACGGGAUUAGAUACCCCGGUAAUCCUGGCCGUAAACGAUGGGUACUAGGUGUAGGAGGUAUCGACCCCUUCUGUGCCGGAGUUAACGCAAUAAGUACCCCGCCUGGGGAGUA
rnacentral:rRNA from 1 species